UACGAAGGUGGCAAGCGUUGUUCGGAUUUACUGGGCGUACAGGGAGCGUAGGCGGUUGGAUAAGCCCUCCGUGAAAUCUCCAGGCUUAACCUGGAAAGUGCAGAGGGGACUGUUCAGCUAGAGGAUGGGAGAGGAGCGCGGAAUUCCCGGUGUAGCGGUGAAAUGCGUAGAGAUCGGGAGGAAGGCCGGUGGCGAAGGCGGGACUCUGGGCCGAUACUGACGCUGAGGAGCGAAAGCGUGGGGAGCAACA
rnacentral:rRNA from 1 species